GAUGAACGCUGGCGGCGUGCCUAAUACAUGCAAGUCGAGCGAACAGACGAGGAGCUUGCUCCUCUGACGUUAGCGGCGGACGGGUGAGUAACACGUGGAUAACCUACCUAUAAGACUGGGAUAACUUCGGGAAACCGGAGCUAAUACCGGAUAAUAUAUUGAACCGCAUUGUUCAAUAGUUAAAGACGGUUUUGCUGUCACUUAUAGCUGGAUCCGCGCCGCAUUAGCUAGUUGGUAGGGUAACGGCUUACCAAGGCAACGAUGCGUAGCCGACCUGAGAGGGUGAUCGGCUACACUGGAAGUGAGGAAGGGCCCAGACUCCUACGGGAGGCAGCAGUAGGGAAUCUUCCGCAAAGGACGAGAGCCUGACAGAGCAACGCGGCGUGAGUGAUGAAGGUGUUCGGAUCGGAAAACUCUGUUAUUAGGGAAGAACAAAUGUGUAAGUAACUAUGCACGUAUUGACGGUACCUAGUCAGAAAGCCACGGCUAACUACGUG
rnacentral:rRNA from 1 species